UACAAUCGCACAUUUUGAUAGUCUAAAUGUACUUAGAAUUAAAGAUCAUGUACAAACACUUUCUGCAUACAAUUCGACGCCACUGUUUAUUAUGUAAUUUUGAUAAAUAUUUUUCUUGACUAAUUCAUUAUUAUGUGAGGUUUUGUAGUUUGCUUGCAAAUAAUAAUAAUCGAAAAUACCAAUGCAAUGUCUCAACGGCAACAGGUUGUCACUUUAUAUAAAACGAUCCUGAGAAGAUUAAGCAGCUAAUUGGGCAUGGUGAAUAUAUUGUCAAAGAGAUUGAAGCUUUGUAUAUGCUGAAAAAAUACAGAACUCUUAAACGUAGAUAUUACAAUGAUGUGUGAG